rnacentral:rRNA from 1 species
AUUGAACGCUGGCGGCAGGCCUAACACAUGCAAGUCGAACGAGUGGCGGACGGGUGAGUAAUGUCUGGGAAACUGCCUGAUGGAGGGGGAUAACUACUGGAAACGGUAGCUAAUACCGCAUACCAUCGGAUGUGCCCAGAUGGGAGUAGCUAGUAGGUGGGGUAACGGCUCACCUAGGCGACGAUCCCUAGCUGGUCUGAGAGGAUGACCAGCCAGACUGGAACUGAGACACGGUCGAGACUCGUACGGGAGGCAGCAGUGGGGAAUUGUGCACAAUGGGCGCAAGCCUGAUGCAGCCAGGCCGAGUGUAUGAAGAAGGCCUUCUGGUUGUAAAGUACUUUCAGCGGGGAGGCGUUACCCGCAGAAGAAGCACCGGCUAACGCCGUGCCAGCAGCCGCGGUAAUAC